rnacentral:lncRNA from 1 species
AUGGGUUUGAGGGGCUCUCCUGCCCCGGGAGGGUCCCUGCCAGCUCCAGCCCCACUGUCUGCACAGACAGGACCCGGGCAUGGGGGCAACCGGUUCCCUGGGGGCGGCCUCUUCCCGAAGCUGCGGGGAGGCACGGGGCCAGCUGGGCACAGGGCUCCCGCUCCUCACCCCGGCGGAAAGUCAGGGGAUUUCCAGGCUGUGGGAAGAAACAGGAACCGGCUGCGUGCGACGGUGGCCGGGCUCACCCCAACACGGCCACAGCCGGUGGCAGCCGCUCCGCAGCGCGCACCAGGGCAGAGCCUGCAGGGUCAGGGCCCUAAAACUCCCAUCUUUGACCCCAUUUCCCUGGGAUCGGGUGCCCCCCAGCGACUCAGCUGCUUUUCCUGGGAAAGCCAGGCCAUUUCCCAGAAACAUUCCUCCCCUGCAAGGGCCAAAGCAGCAGCACACCCUCAGCCCGGGCACACCGUGUUCCUCCAUCUCCCUCCCACCAGUGCAGCACAGGGCAGCCCCAGUGCCCCCAGUCCCACCACCCCAGGCCAGCAUUGCUUCUCCUCCAUCCCCUUCUCCGGGGGUUCCUCUACAGCCCGCCACAGCAGCCCAGGAGGGAGGUGCAGGGCAGGGAGGGCCACCACAGGGAGGGGGACACCCACACAGGGGGGACAGGGAAGGCAGAGCAUCCCUGCCUGCACCCCUGCCCACCCCCGGCGCAGGGGGCUGCAGCCAGACCAUGGCCCCUGCAGCCUGAGUGCUCAGACCCCCAGGGGUCCCCCACACCCCAUGAGUCUGUCACUGCCAUCACAGGGUCCCCUCACAGUGGGUGACCCCCGAGAGACGAUGGACACCCCUUCCAUUCCUCUCACACACACUCCUGGACGCGCUCCCUCCUCCUUCAGGCUCAGCCCUGGGUUCCCCACAGCAGAGUCUCGGGCACCAGAUUUUAUAAAAAUAAGUCAUUUAAUUGAAAGACACAGCAGCAGGGGCAGCCCGGGCUGGGCACCUCCAAGAGGGAUGUCGAACAAAGAAAUCCCCAGGCAGUGA